rnacentral:rRNA from 1 species
CCGCCCCUAGAUGAGGUCUCCCUGAAGGCCCCUCGUAGACGACGAGGUGGAUAGGCGGGAGGUGUACGCGCGGCAACGCGCUCAGCUGACCCGUACUAAUCGGCCGUCCGGCUUGACCAU